rnacentral:rRNA from 1 species
GAUGAACGCUGGCGGCGUGCCUAAUACAUGCAAGUCGAGCGAACGGACGAGAAUCUUGCUUCUCUGAUGUUAUCGGCGGACGGGUGAGUAACACGUGGAUACCCUACCUAUAAGACUGGGAUAACUUCGGGAAACCGGAGCUAAUACCGGAUCAUAUUUUGAACCUCAUGGUUCAAAAGUGAAAGACGGUCUUGCUGACACUUAUAGAUGGAUCCGCGCUGCAUUAGCUAGUUGGUAAGGUAACGGCUUACCAAGGCAACGAUGCAUAGCCGACCUGAGAGGGUGAUCGGCCACACUGGAACUGAGACACGGUCCAGACUCCUACGGGAGGCAGCAGUAGGGAAUCUUCCGCAAUGGGCGAAAGCCUGACGGAGCAACGCCGCGUGAGUGAUGAAGGUCUUCGGAUCGUAAAACUCUGUUAUUAGGGAAGAACAUAUGUGUAAGUAACUGUGCACAUCUUGACGGUACCUAAUCAGAAAGCCACGGCUAACUACGUG